rnacentral:rRNA from 1 species
AUUGAACGCUGGCGGCAGGCCUAACACAUGCAAGUCGCGCGGAGCGGCGGACGGGCGAGUAAUGCCUAGGCAUCUGCCUGGUAGUGGGGGAUAACGUCCGGCUACGGGCGCUAAUACCGCAUACUAUCCGAUGAGCCUAGGUCGGAUUGGCUAGUUGGUGGGGUAACGGCCUACCAAGGAGACGAUCCGUAACUGGUCUGCGAGGAUGAUCAGUCAGACUUGAACUGGGACACGGUACAGACUCCCACGGAGGGCAUCAGUGGUGAAGAUUGGACAAUGGGCGAAGUACUGGUCCGGCCACGCCGCGUAGGUGAGGAAGGUCGUCGCAUCGUAAAGCUCGUUAAGUUGGGAGGCGUUACCCACAUAAUAAGCACCGGCUAACUUCGUGCCAGCCGCCGCGGUAAUAC